rnacentral:rRNA from 1 species
AGGAUGAACGCUGGCGGCGUGCCUAAGACAUGCAAGUCGAGUGGGUUUAGACCCACGGCGAACGGGUGAGUAAUACCUAGGAACUUUUCUUUAGUUGAGCAUAUCCUCCCGAAAGGGAGAGCAAUUCUCAAUGUGCCCGCAAGGGUAAAGUCGCAAGACGCUAAAGGUGAGGCCUGGGCACCAUCAGCUAGUUGGUAAGGUAAUGGCUUACCAAGGCUAUGACGGUUAGGGGCCCCGAGAGGGGAGACCCCCACACUGGGACUGCGACACGGCCCAGACUCCUACGGGAGGCAGCAGUUUGGAAUUUUGGACAAUGGGCGAAAGCCUGAUCCAGCGACGCCGCGUGGACGAUGAAGGCCUUCGGGUUGUAAAGUCCUUUUGCUCGGGAACAAUUUUUGAGCGUACCGAGAGAAUAAGAGGUUGCUAACUCUGCGCCAGCAGCCGC